GUGACCUCGGAUCGGUAGGACUACCAGGUUAUCCC
rnacentral:rRNA from 1 species